AGAAAACCGAGGACCGGGAAGAGUAGGCGUCCCGCUGGCCCACAGCGAACCCGGGGUGGUGCGAGCCGGGUGGUUAUGGAUGUCGAAAAUCACCCGCGAGGUGCAGGCUGAACCAGGAGUAAGCCGUGCCGGUUUGCUGCCGUUAUCAGCUAAAGAGGCCCUGCCGCCAUACGGGCGGGCUAUGAGGGUGGUACCGCGGGAAUAACCUCUCGUCCCUUUG
rnacentral:ncRNA from 1 species